AUGCCUGGAGAGGUACGUGGACAGCGACGUGGUCCGGGUGCUGCCGGACUGCGGCCACCUGUUCCACCGCGGGUGCGUCGACCCCUGGCUCCGGCGGCGGCCCACGUGCCCCGUUUGCCGGACCUCGCCUCUGCCCAGCCCCGUGCCGACGCCGCUCGUCGAGGUGACGCCCCUGGCGCUGGUCAGGCCGGCGUGGGGCGAUCAGGCGAGCGGACACGACCGGACACGACGUUCUUGAACUCUUGGCUUGCUCUCUGUUUUCCUUUUUUUUCCUUUAUUACACAGACCGCUCUUUAUUUUCUUCCCGUCUCCAUUAGUUUUUAUAUAUACGGCUGGAUGCCACAUGUAAUUAGAAGGUGA
rnacentral:rRNA from 1 species